ACUAUCAAAUUCACCCGCAAAAGCAAACUCGAUUCACAACAACCCCAGAAAACUUAUUGACAGAAACCGAGAAAACUUAGAGUCAAUGACGAAUUCAAGCAUUCCACAAGUAAGAUGCCACCACACGCAAAAAAACUCGUAUCACAAUAACCCAGAAAACUUUUUGACAGAAAACUUAUUUACAAGUUACAACAAUCCGACAGUUCACGACGCUAAGCUUAUUUACAAACGUGUUGACUUGACUUCCUUAAGAGGGUAUAGAGAUCAACACAACACAGAGAAUUUCUUAGAACUAUAUUCUUAUUGAUAACAAACUGUUUACAAUUGUUAUCUCGGAUAUUACUUGAUCUAUUCUACCCAAAUGAUCAAACCCGACUAAGAAUACCUAAGCCUAAUUCUCUUCUCUGUUUCUUAUCACUCUCACGUGAAGACAAGGAGAACUACACACUCACCUUCAAGCUUUUGCAAUGCUCUGAAGUUUACAAUCGUAUGACAGUAUUCUAGAGUGCUUAAAGCGCCUCACGCUAAGUUCUAGAAUACUUAUCCCUACUCUCCAGAACCCUAAACCUAGGAUCUCCGAGAAUCUCGUUUUAAAGAAUCUUCCUUGUUUCCAAGCUUAUUCCUUCCUAAAUCUUCGAGACUUGAUUUGACUCCUCAAACCCUAACUCCUCUUUUUCCCUCCAAUACCCGAGCAAAAACUUCUUGAAUCCUUAUUGGAUUUUGAAACUCGAACUGGGCUUGGACCUAAAAAUUGUAUUACUCUAAAACACUUAACAAACGCAUAAGAGCUCAUUUGCCAAGAAACCCAUCAAUCAAAUUUUUUUAGUUAGCACAGGAUUGCAAAUAGCAGAGAUGAGAUGAUUUCAACAGUCAUAUCCUGAAACAGUUUAGUGACCCAAACAGAUAAUUGAUACAUGCGGGUAGUAGCUUUCCAAACAUUUUCAAAGCAUAUCUCUUCCUUGUACUCUGUUCAGUGCUUUGUGUCUAUCGGUUGUUCAGAACUUAGAAAGAAACUGUUACAACCACUCAGAUCGUUGAUAGAUCAGCUCAAUGUUCAGUGGCUAGUCUUUCACACUGUCAUGCCUUCAGUUCUAAACGAUCAAGGCAAUGUGUAACAAGCAGCUGGAAUUUCCUUUGAAGAUAGCUUUACCAAACAGGAGCUUGAUGAUAUGUGUUUUUGAACUGCUCCUUAUUUUUGUCAUAUUAGCAAUAUCACUUGACUUCUUAAUUGCUGAUAUUCGAACUUAGUGAUCUUGAUACACUUUUUUUUUU
rnacentral:sRNA from 1 species